UUUUCUUUUAGGGGGAGGUUUAUGGGGGUGGAAAAGGUGAGAGGGAGGCACUAGUUUUUUGUAAGGUUGUUGACAGAAGAUAGAGAGCACAGAUGAUGGUAUGCAUAUUACUAUAUAUAGAGAGGAGGAAUUGAUCAAUGGUGCAUCCUACUCCUUUGUGUUCUCUAUAUUUCUGUCAUCACCUUCACCCUCCAUUUCUCAUUUCCCCCCUCACUCUCUCUAUAUAUACCUCAUUUAUCUCUACAAGAACUAGAAUUUUACUCACCAAAAAAUCAUGUAUAAUUUACUGUUGUUGGAAAUCCUACAUCGACUACAUAUGUUAAGAAAUUUCAUAAUAUAUAAGUUGGUGCAAAACUUACCUCAUAAACCAGUUAUAUGAUGUUGAGUUAAGAUCAACUUCUUAAUGGAUGUUCAGCCUGGAAUUUACCUAGCUACUUUUCUCUACUAAUUGCAGCUGUUACAAUUAUACAAUACAUGGGUUUUAAAAAACAGUCUAUGGCUAUGAUUAAUGGCAAGAUCAUAAAAUGAUGAAAUGAAAUUAUAAUAUAUAUGUAAAUUAGGAGAAUAUAUGAUUGGUGUUAACCUUUAUAUUUUGCAGUUAGACUGGUAUGGGUGUUGGACACUAAGAUUAUUAUCUGUUUGUUGAUGGCACAUGAGGGAGAGUAAGAAUGAGAAAGUAUGGCUUCUUUUGAUUCUGUGUUUUGUGCUUGAUCUUCUUCAUAUGGCUUGGUUUUAACAAGAAUGUACUCAUCUUGCUUUAUUGAAGAAGGACCACAUGCAAUAGGAAUUUGUGGCAAGGGAUUGCGAAGAAAAUAUAUGGGGUCCAAAUUCCAAACUCACCAUCACAUAUUGUAGGGAACAUAUAUACUUAAUUGCUCACGAUUCUUCCAAACUCACUACCCCCACACUCUUGUUCCAUGAUUUUCAUGCUCAUCUCUAUCCAAUGCUCCCAAUAAUAAAGGGCCAAGCUUUUCAUAGCAGAUUUUUAUGUGAAUUUACACUAAUUUGUAAGCUAACUUUUUUUUUUAUAAAGUUUUCAUGUUAGACAUAUCUAUAUAUGUAAUUUGACAUUUCAGCUAGACUGACACUUUAAAUAACAACAAUUAUCUAUCAUCACAUGAAAAAACCUUAAACCCUAAACCUUAAAAAUGUAUAAUAACUUUAUAUAGUGUAAUUAAUUUGAUUAUGGGGAAUGAAAAAAAGGCAAAUUUAAGGAACUUUGAGUCAGAGGAGACAAAAGGGUGGUUUUGAGUGAUAUUAACAACAGCUUUUUUGCCAUUGAUGUGGUUUGAGUGAUGAAGAUGAAGCCCAUUAUGACUGUUAAUUAGUAAACAAUGUGAAGAAGAUAAAGUGAAAUAUGAGUUUUUGUCUUCUUGCCUGCAAUGCAAGAAAUAUGAAAUUAAUGAAAAUAUAUAUUCUCCCAUUUUCUUGAGCUACCAAUUUAAAGCUAUAGGUGAUUAGGAAUAAAUUUGUUAUUUUGAGAUGAGAAAGACCCUUUCCAGAUAUGUAGAUGCACACUCAUUCAGAUGUCACUUACAUUCCCAUUACUAUUUUAAUACCACUUUCUUAUCAUAUAAUAUAAAACCAGCAAUUCAAAAG
rnacentral:lncRNA from 1 species